rnacentral:rRNA from 1 species
GUCUUUUUGUUAAAAAUUUAAAGUCGGGCCUGCCCACUGAAAUUUUAAAUGGCCGUGGUAUUUUGACCGUGCUAAGGUAGCAUAAUCAUUAGUUUUUUAAUUGAAAGCUGGAAUGAAAGGUUUGAUAAAAAAAUGACUGUCUCUAUUUAAUUUUAUUAAAACUUUAUUUUUAAGUUCAAAAGCUUAAUUUUAAUUAAAAGACGAGAAGACCCUAUAGAGUUUAAUAAUUUAAGAUAAAUUUAUAUUUUAGAAUUAACUUAUAAAUUUAAAAUAUUAUUUAAUUGGGGUGAUUGAAAAAUUUAAUUAACUUUUUUUAUAUUGAACCAUUAAUUUAUGAUAAUUUGAUCCAAUUUUUUGAUUAUAAGAUAAAAUUACCUUAGGGAUAACAGCGUAAUUUUUUUAGAAAGUUCAAAUUAAAAGAAAAGAUUGCGACCUCGAUGUUGGAUUAAAAUUAAAUUUUGGUGUAGAAGCUAAAAAUUUUAAGUCUGUUCGACUUUUAAAAUUUUACA